rnacentral:rRNA from 1 species
UACGGGGGGAGCAAGCGUUGUUCGGAUUUACUGGGCGUAAAGGGCGCGUAGGCGGUCGUGACAAGUCACUUGUGAAAUCUCCGGGCUUAACUCGGAACGGUCAAGUGAUACUGUCGGACUAGAGUACAGAAGGGGCAACUGGAAUUCUCGGUGUAGCGGUGAAAUGCGUAGAUAUCAGGAGGAACACCGGUGGCGAAGGCGCUCAUCUGGCCCAAUACUGACGCUGAGGCGCGAAAGCUAGGGGAGCAAACGGG